rnacentral:rRNA from 1 species
GAUGAACGCUGGCGGCGUGCUUAACACAUGCAAGUCGAACGAAGCACCUCUCCCGAAGAUUGACACAGCUUGCUGUAGAUUGAUUCAUUUGAGGUGACUGAGUGGCGGACGGGUGAGUAACGCGUGGGUAACCUGCCUCAUAGAGGGGGACAACAGUUGGAAACGACUGCUAAUACCGCAUAGUAAGAAGAAUUCGCAUGUUUUCUUCUUGAAAGAUUUAUCGCUAUGAGAUGGACCCGCGUCUGAUUAGCUAGUUGGUAAGGUAACGGCUUACCAAGGCGACGAUCAGUAGCCGGCUUGAGAGAGUGAACGGCCACAUUGGGACUGAGACACGGCCCAAACUCCUACGGGAGGCAGCAGUGGGGAAUAUUGCACAAUGGGGGAAACCCUGAUGCAGCGACGCCGCGUGAGUGAAGAAGUAUUUCGGUAUGUAAAGCUCUAUCAGCAGGGAAGAUAAUGACGGUACCUGACUAAGAAGCCCCGGCUAACUACG